CUGUGCUCGCAUUAGUAUUUUCCCAUAGGAAAGCAUUAUUUAAAGUUUUCCUAUGGGGAAAAAUCUGACGCUGGUCCUAAUGCCUUCUCUGGAACUGCAAUGUUUACCAUUGCAGCACUUGGUGUAAAAUUAACACAGCACCAAGACCACUACAAUAAGCUGAAGUGGUCUGGGUGCCUACAGUGUCCCUUUAACUAAAUGGUCAAGUGCUGAUAGUACGUGCUGGGCAUUCUGAGUGCCAGGUGAAGAUACUGUGCCCCUGAUGUACUGUGUCUCUCCUUACAGAUCAAAUAUAUACUAUAUAUCUCACAAAUACGUUGUUACUAAUAAAUACACUAAGAGGAAAAAACAAACACAACAAAAUUAAAUACUUAUCAGUAAACAGAAAAACAGCUUCCCACUGAACACCUCCCAAUUAGUGUUACAUCUAAACAAGCGAAGAAAUACAAUAUGUGUGGGAUUCAGCUGAUGAAUCUAAAAUCAAAAUAAAAUAAAACAUAGCAUAAUACAGUUUUAGAAAUGUAAUAUUUCCUGCUAUAGAUUGCACUCACAGGAUGUUGAAAGUAUAUGCGCUCUAUUGGUGCCUCCCCUGAUGUUUUGGGGGCUAGUGUCUCCCUCUUAGGAUCAAAUAUCACCCGGUAUCAGGAACCAUGCAGGACUCCAACAGGUAGAUAGGUAAAAAGGAGGUUUAUUGGUUAUAAAAAGUAUAAAAAGGAUUGGUCUUACGCGUUUCAUCCACCAGGGGACUUCCUCAGAGACCAGUAUACAAUAAAACACAGUGAGUAUAGUAAAUAAUGCUCCCAAAAAAAUAG